GGAGUCCUUUGUCACCUGUGGUCACCGCUCCACAUUCUCUGUCCCCACCUGGCAACCUUCCUCUUCUGCUUUAUUAAUGAGUACAAGAUCCUGUCUUUUCUUACCCUGCAGAAGCUUGAGUUUGGUAAGUUGCUGUUAUUCAGUUGCUCAGUCAUGUCCGACUCUUUGUGACCCCAUGGACUGCAGCACGCCAGGUUUCCCUGUUUUUCACCAUCUCCCAGAGCUUGCUCAAACUCAUGUCCAUUGAAUCAGUGAUGCCAUCCAACCAUCUCAUCCUCUGUUGUCCCCUUCUCCUCCUGGUAAGUUAUGUUUAUGAUAACCAUGGGACUGCUGGUUAUGUCCUCUUGUCUACUUUUAGCAAAUCAAAGCUGAUUACAUGCAGCCAUACCUCAGUUAGUUUCAAAUAGAGUAAGAAGCAGCCACUCUCAAAGCUCAUGUAAGACAUCUAAUAUUUGAGAAAUUUAUUGGCAUUGGCAACCACCCUCUCAUUAAGUUCUGUUCUAAACUAAGCCAGAUCAUCAGGAAAUAAUACAAAAAUCACAUCUACUGAAUCCCUGUGAGAAUUUGGUUUAUUUAGUUAUGAUUAACCCUUGGCCUCUGUUUUAUCACAGGAUCACUCAAUGGGGCAAGAGAAAAUACAUGUACUAGAUAUUAUUCAUCUUACCAUACUAACAGUACA
ensembl:lncRNA